CUUGGCACCACAACCUCUGAAUUAAUGUACUCUGCUCUGCUCGCUGUGCCUCCUUGCUCCCAGCAUGGGCAUGGAGUCCUGUUAUGCAGCAUGCCACAUUUUUUUCCUGCGGAAGACACCAAGAUUAGAUGAGAGGACGUGUUCGGCAGCAGAAGAGAAAGUCUCUGGCCAGCACACUUGAACUUUGGCCAGGCUGGCUUACCCAAGCAGUGAUUUUGGUCAACACACAACUUCUGUCCUGACCUUGCCAUCACAGAGGAAAAUGUCCAGUUAUGCAGCC
rnacentral:lncRNA from 1 species